CUGACGGCCCCCUUCUCUGAGCAGGAGGUCUGGGGGGCCAUCAAGGGUAUGAAUACCUCUUCUGCGCCGGGCCCGGACGGCCUCCCGGUCAUUUUCUUCCAGACCUUCUGGAAUGUGAUUGAAACCGAGGUCAUGGCCAUCUUCGAUGAAUUCUUUGUUGGUUCUAUUGACCUAGGUCGCCUCAACUACGGGAUCAUCUCUCUCAUCCCCAAGGUCCCUGGGGCGUCUGACAUCCGGCAGUUCCGCCCGAUCACGGUCAUUAAUGUGAUCAUCUGGAUCUUGGCCAAGGGGUAUGCCAAUAGGGUGACCCUGCUUGCGGAUCGGAUAACCCAUCCUAACCAGUCGGCCUUCAUUAAGGGCCGGUACAUCCUGGAUGGUGUCCUUGUACUUCAUGAGGUUCUUCAUGAGGUCCGGGUUAAACGCCUUAAGGCGGUUUUUCUGAAGAUCGAUUUCCACAAAGCC
rnacentral:rRNA from 1 species